rnacentral:rRNA from 1 species
CAGCAGCCGCGGUAAUACGAAGGGUGCAAGCGUUACUCGGAAUUACUGGGCGUAAAGCGUGCGUAGGUGGUCGUUUAAGUCUGUUGUGAAAGCCCUGGGCUCAACCUGGGAACUGCAGUGGAAACUGGACGACUAGAGUGUGGUAGAGGGUAGCGGAAUUCCUGGUGUAGCAGUGAAAUGCGUAGAGAUCAGGAGGAACAUCCAUGGCGAAGGCAGCUACCUGGACCAACACUGACACUGAGGCACGAAAGCGUGGGGAGCAAACAGGAUUAGAUACCCGCGUAGUCCCUGUCUCUUAUAC